AAAACUCUGCCGGCGCCAUUGUCGGAGUCCGGUCGCCGCUGCUACUUGAGGUGGCUGCCGGGCUGCUGCCGAACCGGUUCAGAGAUCGCUGCUGUUUCGGUUCAGCUGCUCCUUCUUCGUUCGAGUUGUUGAGACUGUUGCGAAAGUGGCUUGGAACCGAGGUUUUGGCUGCCGGGAUUUUGAUUGUUGAUCUCGGGUCGAGGCGGAA